UACGUCUUACAGCUGGUACCAUACGUUUGGCGCCUGAGGGAGUGUCCAAUCAGUGCAUUCGACUGCCCUUUUAACCAUGGGCCCCAGGUCUUUUGCUUGGUGUUUAGGAUGCAGGGCCAGUGACACAUGUGGGACGGACUCCUCCGCCAUCAUGUACCACUGAUCCUGCUCCUCUGUCAACUGUACAUCUGCCGCUACCCCUUCAGGGCCUACAUAUAUGAAUUUAGACCCGACCUGCCACGUGUCCCCACAUACUACAUCCCCAAACCCCUCUCUAUACACCUCAUCGCCCUGCCGAUCAUAAAAUAGGGUUACAUGUGGGGGGUCUGGCGGAGGAAAGUACGGCUCGAGGAGGGAGAUCCACGGCCUCCACUUGAAGUACUGGGACAAAAUACCCUGUUUGUCCGGCUUUUCCGGUGUCAAUAGUCCCCAGUAUAUCUCCGCUAUUUCACCCUUCACCGGUUGUACCAGGUACUGCCCUUUGCGUGUGGUUUCAGGACGCACACCGCCGAUGUCCCGUCUGGUAACGUGACGGUUAGUCCAUCUGGAGAACAUAAGAUAUUAGCCCCCAGUUUUAUCAACAAGUCUCUCCCCAAUAAGUUCACUGGUGUGUUUGUCGACACCACAUACGGAUGGCUGAGGGCCGGUUUACCCAGUACCGUUUUAAGAGGAAAUGUCACUGGCAAAGUCUGUCCCACUCCUUCAAACCCCACAACAUCCACUGUUUUGGAGGAUAGUAGUCCUGUAGCGGGAGGGGCGGUGAUGGUGGAAAAAGUGGCACCUGUGUCAACCAGAAAGGAGAAAUCCUUCCCGUCGACAAUCAGGGACAGCAUGGGGUCUGCCCUUGCCCCGCUGUCCCCUCCCCUCCCUGUAGACCGUCACGCCUGGUCCCACCCUCCCUCAUAAGAGAGUGGGUAUUGUCCAGGUGCACUAGGUGGUGGGACGGCGUGUGGGUUGGGAACUGGAGCUGCCCCUUGGUUUGGGUAUCCUCUGCCCCUUGCAGUGUUCUGUGGGCAGUCUCUGGACCAGUGGUUCGGGUCACCACACGUAAAGCAGGCUCCGUAUGGGACUUGGGCUCCUUAAGC
ensembl:lncRNA